GAGAAUUCGGCUGGGAUUUAGAAUAUCAUCCCCGGAUUUCGGGGAUAAAAUGGGUGUCACUGGAAAGGUGGCGUUCUCCAGAUCACGAAAAUAUAUACAUAUAGUUGCCGCUGACUUAUAGUUUUAAAGAUAUUUGCAUUUAAAGUUGAAAAAUUGACAACUUUUACAUUGAUAAUUUGUGUAUUGUGAGUAACUUUUUCACUUAUAUUGUGCACUUUUCACUUACUAACACUUCACUAUAACGUUUCGGUAUAUUCAUUUUUUUAAUAUUUGUUGUAAAUAAAGCUUUAUUUUAAUUAUUUUAUUUUAGUUACAAUUCUCUGCAUUUGCACAAUAAGAAAAGGGUUGCCAUGGUUAUUUUUUUUUUCGCGCCGCGCUUCAAAACGUCAGCGGCAACUAAAUGUAUAUAUUUUCGUGAUCUGGAGAACGCCACCUUUCCAGUGACACCCAUUUUAUCCCCGAAAUCCGGGGAUGCUAAUCUAAAUCCCAGCCUAUUUUAGCACUAAUUCAAAAUAAAUUUUUAGAAAUGAAUUAGUGUAGUGUUAGAAGUGCAAGUUAAUAAAUAAGUGUAAAAUUCAUUAUAAAUCGGAGAAACACGACUUUUAAAUAAUUGAAUUUUUGAACUUUAAAUGCAAAUAUCUCAAAAACCACAGUGCAACUACAUAUAUACGUAUUCUUUGUUGGUCGAGAGAAGACUUUACCUCUCAAUUGCCUACGCAGUCGGAAGUAGCACCUGUUGGCAAAAGUUAUUCGGGCUGACGUUGUUGCUGUUAAUUGUAAUUCCAAGAUAGACGAAAUUAUAUACGACUUCACAGCUGCGACUUUUAACAUUUUCGUAGAAGUCAAAUCGCGAGUCGGAUGAUGCUAUUCUUAGAUUUACUCCUAGUCUUAUAUGUAUGUAUAAUAUAAUCACUAAUCUGGACUUUGUACUUGCUUAUUUAUGCUUAUAAUUAAAAGUCGAAAAACCCGA